AUCGGGAGAAAUUAAGAAAAAAGGGAUCGUACGGAGAGUUUUGUCCGCAACUAUUUAUUUUUAACCUCCGGCUACUGGGAUUUCAGGAUUUCUCGCAAAAAUUUCAUUGACAACCUUUUUGCAAAAACAAUAACAUAUCAUGUCGUAACAUGUUUUACUAAUGUACAUAUACAUAAGUACAUGUGUAAGUGUGAUAGUUGCCAAAACAAGUGCAAACAAACAGAGCUACCUGGUGUUUUUGUAUCGAUCAAGUGUACAGCAAUAACAACAACGAAGUACCCUGAAAGGGAUAAGCAGUGUAAACAACGAUUCGCUAGCCCCCAUUUGCAUAGAUACUUUUACUUUCACUCACACUCACACAUCUACCUGCAUGUGCAUGCUGGCAUGCGAGUAUGAGUAUUUCAAAAUAUGAUAUAAAAGGACGCGUCCUUUGGCAAAAAAUAUCAGUUGCAUUCUAAAUUUGUUUUCGAGUUAACGAAUAUUUUUUAAGUUUCCGAAAAUGUCGAAAGUGAGCGGUUCGUACUUCAAGCAAGUGUUCCUGAAUAACUUUGGGGUACCAGAAUUUUUGAUGAAAUUAUACGCACCAAUGGCCGUACGUCGAUAUUUUAAAAAAUUAUUUGAAACGAUGCCAACGCCAAACGAUGGGUACCAAGAAACACCUAA